UUUUGACAAUUUUGGCAGUAUAUAACCUAUAUACACACCCUCCAUCUUGUUAAAAUACAUAUCAGAAAUAUUUGUAUAACUAGAGAAAUGGCAUUCGAGACUAAAACAUGGUUUUACUGAUUUUAGGAGUUCUUGCUGUCCAAUGAAAUCUGAUGGAUUUUGUAUUCUUGACUCAAUACCCAAUACCGUGCUCGAAUAGAAGUAAUCACAUUUUUUAUGAUGGAAUUCGGACCACAGAAGCUGCCAACAAUUACACUGCAUCAUUUUCGUAUGAUAGUACUGAUAAUCCACAAGUGACAUAUCCAAUGGAUGUUAAACGUCUUGCUCAACUUGAUCUACAGAUAAGUAAAAGUUACAUGAGUAUCCUUAAAUAAACUCAAUUAGUUUGCAAAACCAAAAUAUAAGCUCAUUUUAUUAAGUGUAAGCAAUCGGCAAUCAUAUAUUUAGUAGAAUAAUUUAGAAUUGAUGUUGUAAUCGUUCAUGAUGUCUUUGUGGCUUAGUUUUAUCGAUGUAAGUAUUGGUUCUUGAUAAAUGUAAUAAUUAAUGUUAAAAAGAUUUUAGUCUCUUUGUACUCAA